GGCAGAGAGAGCCCGGCCCCCGUGCGCGAGCAUGAGGAAAGUCCCCCCACCGUCCGGACGGGUGACCGGGCGCAAGCCCGGAGUCGGAGACGGCUGGCUCUGGAACAGAAACGAGACCACUCGACCCGACCGAUGAGGUGUGCGAACCCGAGCGCAAGCGAGGGGAGUUGACCCACCGAGGGAACGGAGACGCGGCGCGUCCCCGGAUCGUGAGCGGCGUGAGCCGUGAGCGACGGGGCGCCACGCGCCUCGAUGGUGAACGGCGACGCCGUGAGCCGACGGUCGAGAACGGAUGGAACGGCGAAUCCUCACCGGUGCAAGUCCGCCUCGUCAAGGUAGUCCGGACGCGGAGGUGGACGCUCAGCCGAAUGCCGGGAAAACAGAAGGGGGCUUACUCCUCUCAGCC
rnacentral:RNase_P_RNA from 1 species